GAUGAACGCUGGCGGCGUGCCUAAUACAUGCAAGUCGAGCGAACAGACGAGGAGUUUGCUCCUCGGACGUUAGCGGCGGACGGGUGAGUAACACGUGUAAAACCUACCUAUAAGACUGGGAUAACUUCGGGAAACCGGAGCUAAUACCGGAUAAUCUAUUGAACCGCAUGGUGCAAUAGUGAAAGACGGUUUUGCUGUCACUUAUAGCUGGAUCCGCGCCGCAUUAGCUAGUUGUUAAGUUAACGGCCUACCAAGGGAACGAUGCGUAGCCGACCUCCGAGGGUGGUCGGCCACCUUGGAAGUGGGCCAGGGACCUGGCGCCUGCGGUAGGCAGCAGUCGGGAAUGUUACGCAAUAGGGGAAAGCUUGACGGAGCGACGCGGAGUGAGUGGUGACAAUCUUCGGAUCGUAAUGCUGGGUUAUUAGGGAAGAACCAAUGUGUACGUUGAUGUGCACGGCUUGACGGUAACUAAUCAGAAAGCAACGGCUAACUACGUG
rnacentral:rRNA from 1 species